UACGGAGGGUCCAAGCGUUAUCCGGAAUUACUGGGCGUAAAGAGCUCGUAGGUGGUUUGUCGCGUUGUUCGUGAAAACUCACAACUCAAUUGUGGGCGUGCGGGCGAUACGGGCAGACUGGAGUACUGCAGGGGAGACUGGAAUUCCUGGUGUAGCGGUGGAAUGCGCAGAUAUCAGGAGGAACACCGGUGGCGAAGGCGGGUCUCUGGGCAGUAACUGACGCUGAGGAGCGAAAGCGUGGGGAGCGAACAGG
rnacentral:rRNA from 1 species